AUACGUAGGGGGCGAGCGUUGUCCGGAAUGAUUGGGCGUAAAGGGCGCGUAGGCGGCCUGUUAAGUCUGGAGUGAAAGUCCUGUUUUCAAGAUGGGAAUUGCUUUGGAUACUGAUGGGCUUGAGUGCAGGAGAGGUUAUCGGAAUUCCCGGUGUAGCGGUGAAAUGCGUAGAGAUCGGGAGGAACACCAGUGGCGAAGGCGGGUAACUGGACUGCAACUGACGCUGAGGCGCGAAAGCGUGGGGAGCAAACAGGAUUAGAUACCCUGGUAGUCCACGCUGUAAACGAUGAAUACUAGGUGUCGGGUUUCUAUAGAGAUUCGGUGCCGCAGCAAACGCAAUAAGUAUUCCACCUGGGGAGUACGUUCGCAAGAAUGAAACUCAAAUGAAUUGACGGGG
rnacentral:rRNA from 1 species